rnacentral:rRNA from 1 species
AAACUUUCAACAACGGAUCUCUUGGUUCUGGCAUCGAUGAAGAACGCAGCGAAAUGCGAUAAGUAAUGUGAAUUGCAGAAUUCAGUGAAUCAUCGAAUCUUUGAACGCACAUUGCGCCCGUGGUAUUCCGCGGGGCAUGCCUGUUCGAGCGUCAUUUC